rnacentral:rRNA from 1 species
GACGGAGGGUGCAAGCGUUGUUCGGAAUUACUGGGCGUAAAGGGCGCGUAGGCGGUCUGUUAAGUUCGGUGUGAAAGCCCCCGGCUCACCUGGGGAACUGCGCCGGAAACCGACAGACUCGAGUACCGGAGAGGAGGGUGGAAUUCCUGGUGUAGCGGUGAAAUGCGUAGAUAUCAGGAGGAACACCGGUGGCGAAGGCGGCCCUCUGGACGGAUACUGACGCUGAGACGCGAAAGCGUGGGUAGCAAACAGG